rnacentral:rRNA from 1 species
CCUACGGUAGGCAGCAGUGAGGAAUAUUGGUCAAUGGGCGCGAGCCUGAACCAGCCAAGUAGCGUGAAGGAUGACUGCCCUACGGGUUGUACACUUCUUUUAUAAAGGAAUCAAGUGAGGCACGUGUGCCUUUUUGUAUGUACUUUAUGAAUAAGGAUCGGCUAACUCCUGGCCAGCAGCCGCGGUAAUACGGAGGAUCCGAGCGUUAUCCGGAUUUAUUGGGUUUAAAGGGAGCGUAGAUGGGUUUUUAAGUCAGUUGUUAAAGUUGUCGGCUCAACCGUAAAAUUGCAAUUGAUACUGGCAGCCUUGAGUACAGUUGAGGUAGGCGGAAUGCGUGGUGUAGCGGUGAAAUGCGUAGAGAUCACGAAGAACUCCGAUUGCGAAGGCAGCUUACUAAACUGCCACUGACAUUGAUGCUCGAAAGUGUGGGUAUCAAACAGGAUUAGAUACCCUUGUAGUC